ensembl:lncRNA
GCCUGAGCCUCUGGGCAUAUUAACAUUAAUAAAACACAAUUAAGCAAAUGUUAUUAUGUUGCCAGCAACAAAAAGAAUGCCCCUGAGUGUACAACUUCCCCUUGCUGUAAUAAAUAUGCAGACAUGAGAACUGUGCCUUGCAAUUCGUUGCUUAAACAGUCUUAAAAAAACAAAAUACCCACUUUGGUGAAUGCAAAGAAGCCAUCGGGAGUAGACCAAUAGAUAACACACCAAGACCUUUUGCUGGAAGAGGAGACAUGAGAGGCGCAGGUAGGAAAGUUUUGCUUUUUUAUUCUAAUUUACAGGUCUCAGCUGGACAGCUCAGUGUGAGUUGCAGACAAUAAUGCUUAGACCUUUGAGAACGAUUGCAUUUUCUUGUAGCUUCCAUAGUGUGCCACAGUCAAAACUCCACCCUCAGCAAAAAGAACCGAGGAACAAGAACAUUAAGUCUCUUCCCAGAUCGCAUUCCAGCCGAGCUCAUGGACAUCUACAUUUGAGACAAUCAAAGCUGAAGCUGUGGCUUUGCCCCUCACCAUGCUCCUGCUACCCUCAGCAGAGCCCUGAAGAGCUGGGUCAUCAGGAUCCUAUGAGAUCAGCCCUUCCUGGAGAAAUGGUGGGUGCAGCCCCAGCAUUGUCACUGCUGCCUUGCACUGGGAGAGUGCUUUUGUUGAGUAUGAAAGCUGAUAUGGAUCAUAAGGAGCUGGAGAAGUAAUCCAAAGGAGGCAGGAAGCAAUCCAGGUGAAGAAAUACGACCUCUGUAAGGAAAGCCUGAGAAAAGUUAUGGUUAUUUACUCAAAACAAGACUGGAGGAACACAUGAUAUCCAUUUCUAAACGCAACAAAAAAGUGUGUGGUUCUCUAUGUCCAUUCAGGUGCAGCAAGGAUUGGAACAAGGCAGGUUUAGGUCAGAGAUUUCCCACUGGUUUCCAGCUGCCAGGAGAGCCACACUACUGAGUGGGGUGCCAGGGGAGAUGCUCCAAAGUUUGCUUAUGGAGGUCUAGGGAGGCUGGUAAGUAAAGCAUGGUCAGUCAGGGAUGGUUUGUACGAAAUUUCUCCUGCCUUGGUGCUUAGGGAUGGACUAACAGAGGUACUGAGUCCAUCCCAGUCCUCUUUGCUGGGAUUACCACAUUGUAUAAACUCAAGUGUAGGUCUGACCUAGCUGGAAUGUUUUUGCCAUUAAGUGAAACAAAAGGCUUACAGAUGUGAAUGGCAAAUUACAUACUGCAAAUUAAAGCUUUAAGUAAUUAAGCAUGGCCCUUUCACAUUGUAUUUAUACUUCAUGAAUGUUAUUUUAGUUCAUUUCAUAUAAAUAACAAGUUGAGAAUUGCUGUUCUUAAUUGAAACCAUCUCUACUUUUCUAUGGCAAGAGAUUACCAUUUUUAACAGACUCUUUGUGUUCCACUGAGGCUUAUCGUAGGAUUUUUUUUGCACUGUUGCUAGGCAGCUUCAUGCAUGCCAGCAGACAGAGACUGCUGGCUAUGUCAUGGCUAAUUAGGAAAAAAUCUCUGUACUUUUGAGUAUACUGCAGCCCAAGUUUUUCAAGCUUGCUGCUCUGGACAAAGACAAAUUAAUCUUUAUGAGGACUGAUGAAGCACCAUCAUGGCAGCUGUGCUGUGCUCUAAUAUUUUUUAUUUACAGUCCCCUGGAUCCACCGAGUGAAUGAAGUGGUAAAUAUCUAAACAUUAUCUGUUCGUGUUUGUGGGAAGAGAGCAU